GGGCCCGCACAAGCAGCGGAGCAUGUGGUUUAAUUCGAGGCAACGCGAAGAACCUUACCUGGACUUGACAUCUCCUGAAUUACCCUUAAUCGGGGAAGCCCUUCGGGGCAGGAAGACAGGUGGUGCAUGGUUGUCGUCAGCUCGUGUCGUGAGAUGUUGGGUUAAGUCCCGCAACGAGCGCAACCCCUAUUGUCAGUUGCUACCAUUCAGUUGAGCACUCUGGCAAGACUGCCCGGGUUAACCGGGAGGAAGGUGGGGAUGACGUCAAAUCAUCAUGCCCCUUACGUCCAGGGCUACACACGUGCUACAAUGGCAGGUACAAAGAGCAGCGAACUCGCGAGAGCCAGCCAAUCUCAUAAAACCUGCCCCAGUUCAGAUUGCAGGCUGCAACUCGCCUGCAUGAAGUCGGAGUUGCUAGUAAUCGCGAAUCAGCAUGUCGCGGUGAAUACGUUCCCGGGCCUU
rnacentral:rRNA from 1 species